rnacentral:tRNA from 1 species
CUCAGUGGUAGAGCGCGCCCCUGAUAAUUGCGUCGUUAUGGGCGAGGUCUCUGGUUCAAGUCCAGGAUGGCCCA